ACGCUCGACACCUACGGGAGGCUGCAGUGGGGAAUAUUGCACAAUGGGGGAAACCCUGAUGCAGCAACGCCGCGUGAAGGAAGACGGUUUUCGGAUUGUAAACUUCUGUUCUUAGUGAAGAUAGUGACGGUAGCUAAGGAGCAAGCCACGGCUAACUACGUGCUAGCAGCCGCGGUAAUCUGAGCGGGCUGGCAAGGC
rnacentral:rRNA from 1 species